GUCUCGUUUCUUGCUCCGACCGCCGCGGCUCCCCUCUCCACAAAUGGCUUCUUGCCCUUUCCUCUUUACCCCACGAUCCCCUCCUCUCAUCGCCACACACCGCCGCCCAACCCUCGCGAGCCGCGCCCACCUCCCAGUCUCCAGCCGCUCCCGCCUCAGCCGCAGGGAGGGAUGCCCCUGCCGCUGCGCCUCUUCAUCCUCUUCCGGUCGUGACGGGCCUCAAGAGCGCCCGCCCAGGUCUCGACAGCGAAAGCAGAGGACGCAGCGCCCCAGUCGUGACGACGCCAUCGACCCUGUUGGGUUCCUCGCCAAGCACGGCAUCUCCGACCGCGCGUUCGCCCAGUUCCUCCGUGACCGGUACAAGGCUUUGAAAGACCGUCGAUGGGAGCUGCACUCUCGGCUUAUUGAUCUGAAAGAGGCAUCUUCUGGGUUUGAGUUAAUGGGCAUGCAUCGACAUCGGCAGCACCGCAUGGAUUUCAUGGAGUGGGCACCAGGUGCACGUUAUUGUUCCCUUGUUGGUGAUUUUAAUCAGUGGUCAAUCACUGAAAAUUGUGCACGAGAAGGUCAUUUGGGUCAUGAUGAUUUUGGAUAUUGGACUAUCAUACUUGAAGAUAAUCUUAAGGAAGGGCAAGAACCAGAUGAAUAUUAUUUCCAGGAGUACAACUAUGUGGAUGAUUAUGACAAAGGUGACAAUGGUGUUGAUGUGGAAGAAUUGAUUCGUAGAAUGAAUGAAGAGUAUUGGGAACCUGGAGAAGUUAGGUCACAGAAGUCUCGAUUAGAGGUGGUUGCUAAGCUAUAUGAGCAAAUGUUUGGUCCAAAUGGUCCACAGACAGACGAGGAGCUAGGUGACAUACCUGAUGCUGAAACAAGAUAUAAUGAGUGGAAAGCCUUGCAGAAGGAUGAUUCAGCAAGUUCGUUACCUUGCUACGAUAUAAUUGAUAAUGGGCAGGAGUUUGACAUUUUCAACGUUGUAACCGAUCGAGUGUCAUUUGAAAAAUUUCAAGGAAAAUCACCACCUCUUGCUUACUGGGUUGAAAUGAGAAAAGGGCGUAAAGCAUGGAUGGAGAAAUAUGUUCCAGCAAUUUCUCAUAAAGACAAGUACCGUGUUUACUUUAAUACUCCUGAUGGUGCUUUGGAACGUAUUCCUGCUUGGGCUACUUAUGUUCUUCCAGAUGCUGUAGGUAAGCAGUCCUAUGCAGUACACUGGGAACCUCCUCCAGAAGAAAUUUAUAAGUGGAGAUUUGGACGACCGAAAGUCAAAGGUUCACUUAGGAUAUAUGAAUGCCAUGUUGGAAUAAGUGGAUCUGAGCAAAAAAUAUCGUCAUUCCAGGAGUUCACAUCAAAUGUCCUGACUCAUAUAAAAGAUGCUGGCUAUAAUGCUAUUCAACUAAUUGGAAUUCUGGAACACAAGGAUUACUCCUCUGUGGGCUAUAAGGUCACCAAUUAUUUUGCAGUCAGUAGCAGAUUUGGCACACCUGAUGACUUCAAAAAGUUGGUGGAUGAGGCACAUGGCCUUGGAUUAGUGAUUCUUCUUGAUAUUGUCCACUCCUAUGCAUCGUCAGAUGAAUUGGUUGGCUUAUCCCUUUUUGAUGGCUCUAAUGAUUGUUACUUCCACAGCGGAAAACGAGGGCACCACAAAUACUGGGGUACCAGAAUUUUCAAAUAUGAUGAUGUUGAUGUUCUACACUUUUUGUUGUCUAAUUUAAAUUGGUGGGUCACCGAAUACCGUAUUGAUGGAUUCCAGUUUCACUCCCUACCUUCUAUGUUAUAUACUCAUAAUGGCUUUUCUACUUUUACUGGUGCCAUGGAAGAGUAUUACAAUCAAUAUGUUGACAAGGAUGCGCUGAUAUAUUUAAUUAUAGCAAAUGAGAUGUUACAUGAGCUUCAUCCAGAUAUUAUAACAAUAGCUGAGGAUGCAACAUUUUAUCCUGGGCUAUGUGAGCCAACCACUCAAGGCGGAUUAGGAUUUGAUUACUGGGUCAAUCUUUCAGUUCCAGAAAUGUGGUUGUGGCAUCUUGAAAAUGUUUCGGAGCAUGAAUGGAGCAUGACUAAGAUUAUGGAAGUGCUGGUAAGCAUCAAUAGCAAUAUGCUAUCUUACGUCGAAAAUCACAACCAGUCAAUAUCAGGGCGGAAAUCUUUUGCUGAAAUAAUUCUUCAGAAAGAAAAACACUCAAAUAGUUCUGUUGACGAUGGUUUGGUUUUCAGGACUUCCUCGUUGCUCAAUCUAAUCAAACUAAUUACUUUCACAACAAGUGGAGGUGCAUAUCUCAACUUCAUUGGCAAUGAAUUUGCACAUCCAAAGAGAAUUGAGUUUCCUAUGUCAAGCAAUGACUAUUCCUUCCGCCUAGCUAAUCGCCAAUGGGAACUGCUGGACAAGGGUAUCCAUAAGCAUAUAUUCAACUUUGACAAGGAUAUCAUGAGCUUGGAUGAAAAAGAAAAGCUAAUUUCUAGAGGUUCACCCAAUGUUCAUCACUGUGAUGACACUAGCAUGGUCAUAUCUUUUACUAGAGGACCUUUCCUUUUUGUUUUCAAUUUCAAUCCUGAUGCAUCCUAUCAGCUCUAUUCUGUUGGUGUGGAUGAAGCCGGUGAAUAUCAGCUUAUAUUAAACACUGAUGAAACUAAAUAUGGUGGACGUGGGGUGCUCAAGAGCAAUCAAUAUAUGACAAGAACAAGUGACAACAGGGUUGGUGGUUGCCGCAACUCGUUGGAAUUAACAUUACCAUCUAGAAGCGCUCAGGUAUACAAGUUGGUCCGGAUUUUGAGGAUCUAGAUUCUCAAGGGUGUGAGCAUUGUUGAUAGACCACACAAUUCAUGUCCUCAGAAGUUCGAACUUCACUAUCCAUAUCUGCGCUCUUGCAACCUUAAAGACAGCUGGCAAAACAUUAGAUUGGAACGCCUUACAGUUACAAGUCUAGUAGCCUGUGCCUCCAGUGCAGCGCUAGGUUAGUAAGAAGUCUUUGCACAUGCCAGUACUUCCAGCAGGAAUUCGACUCUGAAUACUCUACAAAACUAGUACAUAAGUAGUGACAUGGAUCCUUCAGGUAUGAAUGUGCAUGGGUUGAUGUUCAACAGCUGAGAUUGAUCCCUUUGCUGGUUGCCUGGUUCUUUGACCCUGUGUUUUCUUCCUGUGUGGCACAAUGCGUAAAGUCUUGUAGCAUUUAGACAUCAAAUUACCUAUCUUACGCACUCUGUACCUUCAUUUGAUGCUAGUGUGGCUAGUUAUUUAAAAGUAGCAUCCUAUAUUAGUAGGACAGAACAGACAUCACAGUACUGGGAUGCCUUGUUGGUUUUUUGGGCACAUGAGAUAGUUACAUCUGUAUUCACAACUCACAAGAAUAUAAAGCAAAGUUCGAAAGUUAGGUGUGUUAGAACAAGAUG